rnacentral:rRNA from 13 species
CAGAGCGUACGCUGCAACUCGCCUACGGGAAGCAAUUCUCGAAACUGGUCGUCCUGCAGAGUUUCGCCGUGAACAAACUUUCCUAUC